GCUCGCGUCGGCGCGGCCUCCGCACGCACGUCCCGGAAGGGGCGCCGCCAGCUGCCUGGUUGGCGUCUUCAGGCGACGCCGAGGACCGGGAUCUUCUCCUCCGCCCGCUGGCGGGCGCGGCGCCGUCGGAGCCACGUGCUCCCCGCCGAGCCGCCGCCCUGAGAGAGAUCACUGUACAGGAGUAGUUCUCUUCAUCUGUAAGAAUGGACAUGGUGAGUGCAUUCCAUCGGUAUGGAGAGAGUGUGUGGGGGCAUAAAUUUGAGUUGUGUGAAGAAUACAUUCCAUUGGGUGCAUAUCCGGACCAUGAAGGAUCGCUCUGGCUCCAGACUUCUUAAACCUGUCAAAGUUGGAUGAAACUGCUGAAGCUAUUGCGAGCCCAGCAAGCUGCAUACACACCACUGGCAGGAUUAAAAUUCCACUCUGUCUCUCCGAAAGGCAUUUCGUAAGUCAGAAGCAGAAAAUGAGGAGCCAUGUUCUUCUUGACCUCUAGGUGAAAAGGAGAGCCAUUUCUUUUUCCUCAUUUGAGCACAACAGAACUCCCCUGUACAUCUGCCACGAAUACAUCCGCUUCAAGCCACAGAAACUUCAAGAAGGAUUUUUGAAUUUCAGAAUUGAAGAAAAGGCAUCAUAGACUUUCUGUGAAAUGUCAUGCAAUCUAGUUAGACAAACAAGCCUGAAUGGCUUCUCUCUCAAUAGCCUUUUGAUUAUAUAAACGAAUCAAAAAACAGACAUGUAUGUUCUCAGACCCCUUUCCAAACUGUAGAGAAUAAACCAGAAAGAUCUUUAGAGCUAUCCAGUAUUCUGUCCCGUGAUUUCAAAUUUCAACUUUGG